rnacentral:rRNA from 1 species
GUAGCUCUCUUCGGGGAGUGUUAUAGACCUGGGCAGAUGCGCUGCGCGGGACUGAGGAUUGCAGCGGACACCUCUUCGGGGGCGCGGCGACCGAACCCUGCUCGGCCACCCGAGUUCGAUAGCGUGCUAACGGACGCGGGAGCGGCAGUGCACCGGAACAGGCAAGCCAGCGGUUCGCUUAGGAUGCUGACGUAAUGGCUUUAAACGACCCGUCUUGAAACACGGCUGUCUCUUAUACACAUCUCCGAGCCCA